CUAUUCCUGCGAUGUGCGUUACGGUGCCUAUUGUUUUGAACCAAUGUUUGUUUCCCGGGAGCCCUACAUUGCGCUGCGGCUGACACGCCCCCGAAACGGGUAGUCAAAAGCAGGCGCUGCGCGCACCCACCUGCCAAAGCAGGUUCAGAAACAUGCACGCCGGACGGCAAAGCGGGUUUUUC
rnacentral:other from 1 species